AAUGAGAUUGAUGUUGUAUUCUUCCUCUAGAGAUAAUCAUCCUAUAUUAAAAAUCUGUAGAAUACAGAAACAUAAGUUUUCUCAAUCUUGGAGCAACCACAGGGUAAAUGAAACUGUAGACAAUCUUAAAAGAUCCAUUUUGUAUCUAUAAUAUAUAGUACAUCAUAAAAGGAUAAUGCUAACUUGUGUAACUUUUGACGUAGCGAUUUGUGGACAUAAACUAUAUAAAAGUAAAUACAUAUGUAUAUAACUAUAAACAUGAUGACUUCGGUAACACGGGCGCUGCACCGAACGCCUUUUAAGAAACAAGGAGUAAGAAAACAAAUACAUUAAACGAGGAGUACACCAAAUAGAUUAUGAAAAUAAGGCAGUGACACAUUUUAGAAACUUGUGGAAAAUGACGAAGGAAUUUUUAGGAGACCCAAAGUUUUAACUUUAGAGCUCAAGUCAAUAACUCAACAUUAGAUGGUCAAAAUGCACAUGAGAUAUCAAAGAAAAAUAAUAGUAAUAAAUAAUAAUCAGUGAGUGUUAUAGAAAAAACCUCAGAUAAUCAUUUAUAAAAUCAAAAGUGCCGUAAACAACUCUUGUGGCUUAUAAAAGCUGCUGAUAUCUUUUAAAGCUUAUUAAAUUAGAAGUGACCAUGAACGAGUUUGUAGAAAAAUUUAAGAAAUCGGCU